UACGUAGGUGGCAAGCGUUGUCCGGAAUUAUUGGGCGUAAAGCGCGCGCAGGCGGUCCUUUAAGUCUGAUGUGAAAGCCCACGGCUCAACCGUGGAGGGUCAUUGGAAACUGGGGGACUUGAGUGCAGGAGAGAAGAGUGGAAUUCCACGUGUAGCGGUGAAAUGCGCAGAUAUCGGGAAGAACACCCGUGGCGAAGGCGGUCUCUGGGACGGUACUGACGCUGAGACGCGAAAGCGUGGGGAGCGAACAGG
rnacentral:rRNA from 1 species